CAGGCAGCAAGACGAUCGUAAACGUACACCAUAUGUGAACCUCGUAAUUAUAAAUCUGUCUAUUGUGAAUGAAAUAACUGAAGAACAUCAAGAUUAUUGAGAAUUAAAACGCUGAUAUAAUCGACGAGCGUUUUGCGUUGUGUACCCAUUACUGAAUUAGAUGUCCCCACUGAAC